GAUGAACGCUGGCGGCGUGCCUAAUACAUGCAAGUCGAGCGAACAGACGAGGAGCUUGCUCCUCUGACGUUAGCGGCGGACGGGUGAGUAACACGUGGAUAACCUACCUAUAAGACUGGGAUAACUUCGGGAAACCGGAGCUAAUACCGGAUAAUAUAUUGAACCGCAUGGUUCAAUAGUGAAAGACGGUUUUGCUGUCACUUAUAGAUGGAUCCGCGCCGCAUUAGCUAGUUGGUAAGGUAACAGCUUACCAAGGCAACGAUGCGUAGCCGACCUGAGAGGGGGAUCGGCCACACGGGAGCGGAGACACGGUCCAGACUCCUACGGGAGGCAGCAGUAGGGAAUCGUCCGCAAUGGGCGAAAGCCUGACGGAGCAACGCCGCGUGAGUGAUGAAGGUCUUCGGAUCGUAAAACUCUGUUAUUAGGGAAGAACAAAUGUGGAAGUAACUAUGCACGUCUUGACGGUACCUAAUCAGAAAGCCACGGCUAACUACGUG
rnacentral:rRNA from 1 species